GUAGACAUAGUUUAAUCAAAACGUUAGACCGUGAACCUAACUAUAGAAGCCCACCACUUCUUGUUUACC
ensembl:Mt_tRNA